rnacentral:rRNA from 1 species
UACGGAGGGAGCUAGCGUUGUUCGGAAUUACUGGGCGUAAAGCGCACGUAGGCGGCUUUGUAAGUUAGAGGUGAAAGCCCGGGGCUCAACCCCGGAAUUGCCUUUAAGACUGCAUCGCUUGAAUCCAGGAGAGGUGAGUGGAAUUCCGAGUGUAGAGGUGAAAUUCGUAGAUAUUCGGAAGAACACCAGUGGCGAAGGCGGCUCACUGGACUGGUAUUGACGCUGAGGCGCGAAAGCCAGGGGAGCAAACAGG